rnacentral:rRNA from 1 species
UACGUAGGUGGCAAGCGUUGUCCGGAAUUAUUGGGCGUAAAGGGCGCGUAGGCGGUCCCUUAAGUCAGAUGUGAAAUCCCGAGGCUUAACCUCGGGCGUGCAUUUGAAACUGGGGGACUAGAGUGCAGGAGAGGUAAGUGGAAUUCCUAGUGUAGCGGUGAAAUGCGUAGAUAUUAGGAGGAACACCAGUGGCGAAGGCGACUUACUGGACUGUAACUGACGCUGAGGCGCGAAAGCGUGGGGAGCAAACAGGAUUAGAUACCCUGGUAGUCCACGCUGUAAACGAUGGAUACUAGGUGUGGGAGGUAUCGACCCCUUCCGUGCCGCAGUAAACGCAAUAAGUAUCCCGCCUGGGGAGUACGGCCGCAAGGUUGAA